UCCAUUUUCCUGAUCCUACUGAAUUCCCUUU
rnacentral:piRNA from 1 species